GACUCGGUAGCUCAGUUGGUAGAGCAUAACACUUUUAAUGUUGGGGUCCUGGGUUCGAGCCCCAGCCGGGUCACAA
rnacentral:tRNA from 1 species